GGAUUCCNUUAGUAGCUGCGAGCGAAACGGGAAGAGCCCAGCACCGAAUCUCCUACCCUCGCAGGUAGGAUCGAAAUGUGGUGUAUAGGAAGGCCACCUAAGGCGCGCGGUAGUCCACGUCCCUCUUGAAGGGGGCCACGGUCCAGAGAUGGUGCCAGGCCAGUCGGUACUACCGCGGCAGCCGUUGGGAUGGCCUCUCCUUGGAGUCGUGUUCUUUGAAAAUAGAGCACUAAGUGGGUGGUAAACUCCAUCUAAGGCUAAA
rnacentral:rRNA from 1 species